UACGUAGGGUGCAAGCGUUGUCCGGAAUUAUUGGGCGUAAAGAGCUCGUAUGCGGUUUGGUAAGUUGGAUGUGAAAUCUCCAGGCUCAACUUGGAGGGGUCAUUCGAUACUGCCAUGACUAGAGUUCGGUAGGGGAGUGUGGAAUUCCUGGUGGAGCGGUGAAAUGCGCAGAUAUCAGGAGGAACACCCGUAGCGAAGGCGGCACUCUGGGCCGGAACUGACGCUGAGGAGCGAAAGCGUGGGGAGCGAACAGG
rnacentral:rRNA from 1 species